GCAUUGGUGGUUUAGUGGUAGAAUUCUCCCCUCCCAUGUGAGAGACUCUGGUUCGAUUCCAGCCAAUGCA